rnacentral:rRNA from 1 species
AGCAUAAUCAAUAAGCGGGAAGAAA